GCAACGUCAAAAGGUGCAAACCAGAAAUCAAAACCUACCGAAAAGAAUUGGUUGAUCAUUCUGAUAAUAAUUUUGGCGUUUGUUACAGGCAUUCAUUGCUUUUGACGUUGACACAUUCAUUGGUAAGGGUAAAACCAGGGUUUCAUUGUAUACCACCAUAUGUGAACAUUGCAAAUGACGUAUUCAUUUCAACUUUCAACAUUAUGUCUUUUUUUUUAAACAUUGAAGUAAUGAAAGAACAUUCUGUUGAUAAGUUUGUUUACAAAAAAUUGCACAUUUGAAAAUGGGAAUUAAAAAGAAAAAUCUAGUCUUGCGUUUCUAAAGUCGGUCAGUAAAUUAUGUUUGUUUUAAUUGUUUGGGGUUUUAAGUAAUAGUUAUUUGUCAUUUUUUUUUUGUAAGAUUCAUGAGUUUGUUUGCUCGACGGUGGACCUUUUUGUUCUGAAUUUAUAAACCUAUCAUUGUGUUAGUUAAUUUUCGUAUUCCUUGUUUAUCAUUGGUAAAUUAAAAUAACACUACACAUUCCAUGGGUCUUAAGCUUUUGGUCGUUUUACUUUGAUCAAAAACGCUCAAACCCAAACAUUCGAAUGACAGGGAUGUAGUAUAAGUAGAAAUAUAAUGCGAUAUCUGAUCAAAUUGAACGUUAAAAGAAAAGCUAUGUACGUUCAUUUUAGGGGAAAUUUGCCUGAGUUUUUUGCAAAAUUUCGCAAGUUACGGGAACGAACAUGCAAGGGCCUUGAAUAGAACUUUUCGUAAAGUGUUUGCAAAAAUGCUUCAUUUUAUUUGUUGUGUACUAUUUUAUCAGGAAAGAUGUAUAAAGUUUCAAC
rnacentral:lncRNA from 1 species